GCCAAAAGCCCGCCUGCCGCCUGCUAUGUGCCAGACAUGCCAUCAGAGCCGAAGAUGCUGGAAUGUGGUCAUGCACCUGAAGGACACGCACUCGUGUGAGUGUGUAAGCACCAAAUCAACUGGCCAGGUGCAUGCAGAAGCACUAAGCCCAGGUUUCCUUAUUUUCCCUCUCAUCUCUCAGUGGUCCUGAGAAGUCCCCACGGAUCCCAUACCUACCUCUGUUUUAAAUCUACAGCAAAGUUCCCAGCAGGAAACCUACUAGGUGGAGCUGUAUCGUAUCGACAUGCCUUUAUCUCCACAUAGAGGCCUGCACAGAGCUGGGAAUGGCUGGACUCCGCUGUGGGGAUGCCUUUUGGGGGCCUGGGCCUUCACAUGCAAGCCCCUUUUCUCAUUUCCUGAGGGCUUAUGCCCCACUAUCAUCCCUAGGUUCCCCAAACAAGAUGAUCAGGGUAAAGUA
rnacentral:lncRNA from 1 species